GCGCCUGUAGCUCAAUGGACAGAGCCGCGGACUUCGGAUCCGAAGGUUGGGGGUUCAACUCCCUCCAGGCGCGCCA
rnacentral:tRNA from 2 species